AGAGUUUGAUCAUGGCUCAGAACGAACGCUGGCGGCAGGCCUAACACAUGCAAGUCGAGCGCACUCUUCGGAGUGAGCGGCGGACGGGUUAGUAACGCGUGGGAACGUACCCAGAUCUACGGAAUAGCCUCGGGAAACUGAGAGUAAUACCGUAUACGCCCUUCGGGGGAAAGAUUUAUCGGAUUUGGAUCGGCCCGCGUUAGAUUAGAUAGUUGGUGAGGUAACGGCUCACCAAGUCUACGAUCUAUAGCUGGUUUUAGAGGAUGAUCAGCAACACUGGGACUGAGACACGGCCCAGACUCCUACGGGAGGCAGCAGUGGGGAAUCUUGGACAAUGGGCGCAAGCCUGAUCCAGCCAUGCCGCGUGAGUGAUGAAGGCCUUAGGGUCGUAAAGCUCUUUCGCCAGAGAUGAUAAUGACAGUAUCUGGUAAAGAAACCCCGGCUAACUCCGUGCCAGCAGCCGCGGUAAUACGGAGGGGGUUAGCGUUGUUCGGAAUUACUGGGCGUAAAGCGCGCGUAGGCGGACCAGAAAGUUAGGGGUGAAAUCCCGGGGCUCAACCCCGGAACUGCCUCUAAAACUCCUGAUCUAGAGUUCGAGAGAGGUGAGUGGAAUUCCGAGUGUAGAGGUGAAAUUCGUAGAUAUUCGGAGGAACACCAGUGACGAAGGCGGCUCACUGGCUCGAUACUGACGCUGAGGUGCGAAAGUGUGGGGAGCAAACAGGAUU
rnacentral:rRNA from 1 species